rnacentral:rRNA from 1 species
CUACGGGAGGCUGCAGUGGGGAAUAUUGGACAAUGGGGGAAACCCUGAUCCAGCAAUGCCGCGUGUGUGAAGAAGGCCUGCGGGUUGUAAAGCACUUUCGGUUGGGAGGACUGCUUCUAGCACUAAUAUUGUUGGAAGUUGACGUUACCUUCAGAAGAAGCACCGGCUAACUCCGUGCCAGCAGCCGCGGUAAUACGGAGGGUGCACGCGUUAAUCGGAAUUACUGGGCGUAAAGCGCGCGUAGGCGGCUAGAUCAGUCGGGUGUGAAAGCCCCGGGCUUAACCUGGGAACUGCAUCCGAUACUGUCUAGCUUGAGUACAGGAGAGGAGAGUGGAAUUCCACAUGUAGCGGUGAAAUGCGUAGAUAUGUGGAGGAACACCAAGGGCGAAGGCAGCUCUCUGGCCUGAUACUGACGCUGAGGUGCGAAAGCGUGGGGAGCAAACAGGAUUAGAUACCCCCGUAGUC